CCAAUAGCGUAUAUUAAAGUUGCUGCAGUUAAAAAGCUCGUAGUUGAAUUUCGGGACUAAUAUGUCGGUCGUGCCUCGGUACGUACUGGUAUUUUUGGUUUCUCCCUUCUGACGAACCUUGAUGUCAUUAAUUUGGUGUCUUGGGGAAUCAGGACUGUUACUUUGAAAAAAUUAGAGUGUUUAAAGCAGGCUCACGCUUGAAUACAUUAGCAUGGAAUAAUGAAAUAGGACGUUUGAUUCUAUUUUUUUGGUUUCUAGGAUUGACGUAAUUAUUAAUAGUGAUAGUUGGGGGCAUUAGUAUUCAAUGGUCAGAGGUAAAAUUCUUGGAUUUAUUGAAGACUAACUACUGCGAAAGCAUUUGCCAAGGAUGUUUUCAUUAAUCAAGAACGAAAGUUAGGGGAUCGAAGACGAUCAGAUACCGUCGUAGUCUUAACCAUAAACUAUGCCGACUAGGGAUCGGAUGAUGUUAAUUUUUUAAUGACUCAUUCGGCGCCUUACG
rnacentral:rRNA from 1 species